AUGACACGUCUCCCACGCUUUUCUUCAACACCGACGCAAGAACCUCCUCCCCGAAUUCGCCUUCCGACUCCGGGCGGUCGUCUCGCAUCGCCACCGCGAGGCGGAAUUCCCCGGUCGCCGUCGCCGGCGGCCGCCAAAUGGCUGAAACCCAGUUCGUGGAAGCCGUUUCUGGGCUCGCUCGUGCUCUGCUUCGAAGUCUCUGCGUAAAACAGAGUGCAAAUGAAGCUACAUUGGCCAUGUUAGCCAUAACCCUGGAGAUUUUGGUGACAGACGGGAGUUUUAUUAGCUGGUAUUCUGAGAUCCACAAGGAUGGUAUACCUUCUCUAUAAUGGGAUAACAGAGACAUGUUCUUCGCUAAUAUACAUGACUCUCUAUGACCCACAUUUCCAUUUUUCCUACCAGCCCCUUCAUUUUCAUGUUGGAACAUAUCUCAGUUCAGUUCAAAGACCAAGAGGCAUAUGUGUCCGCAAACCGGCACCACAUUUUGAAUUGAGGACAGACAGUGAUGAUUUUAUUAGCAUUGGGACAGUUCUAACCAGAGGUCUGGAUUUGAUGAUUGGAUACUGAGGUCAAUUUCUGGCAUCAGGCUCUAGCAGUCAUUCAUGGAUUGACACGGGUGAUGUCGGUUUCAUUGAUGAGCAUGUUCGGUUGUGGCUCAUUGGUCAAGAGAGCAGUCGGAUCAAGACUAGAGGAGCAAAUGUUCACCCUGAAGAGGUACUGGACUGUAUCAUGCAUGAAUUGGCUUACCAAUAAAAUCGUUCUUAUCUCUGAGUAGCUUUAGAUUUGUUGAUAGGUCUAAAUGUGAUGCAUAUUUUUCUGUCUUCAAUACCUGUUUCAAUUUCUCAAAAUGAUGGUCAGCUAAAAUGAUAAGAUGUAGCCUCAGCUUAUUUUCGUGGGAAUGUUCUUGUUUCAUAACAAGGGCGGAGGCAAUAUUUUUA